rnacentral:rRNA from 1 species
AACACGCUGGCGGCGCGCCUAACACAUGCAAGUCGAACGAGAAAGUGGAGCAAUCCAUGAGUACAGUGGCGUACGGGUGAGUAACACGUGGGUAAUCUACCUCUUAGUGUGGAAUAACCGUGGGAAACCGUGGCUAAUACCGCAUAAGCUCGAGAGAGGAAAGCAGCAAUGCGCUGAGAGAGGAGCCCGCGGCCGAUUAGCUAGUUGGCAGGGUAAGAGCCUACCAAGGCAGAGAUCGGUAGCCGGCCUGAGAGGGCACACGGCCACACUGGCACUGAAACACGGGCCAGACUCCUACGGGAGGCAGCAGUGGGGAAUCUUGCACAAUGGGGGAAACCCUGAUGCAGCGACGCCGCGUGAGCGAUGAAGCCCUUCGGGGUGUAAAGCUCUUUCGGCAGGGAAGAUGGUGACGGUACCUGCAGAAGCAGCUGCGGCUAACUACGUGCCAGCAGCCGCGGUAAUACGUAGGCAGCAAGCGUUGUUCGGAGUUACUGGGCGUAAAGGGUGUGUAGGCGGUUGUUUAAGUUUGGUGUGAAAUCUCCCGGCUUAACUGGGAAGGUGCGCCGAAUACUGAAUGACUUGGAAUUGCGGGAAAAGGAA